UACGGGGGGGCAAGCGUUGUUCGGAAUUACUGGGCGUAAAGGCUCGUAGGCGGCCAACUAAGUCCGACGUGAAAUCCCAAGGCUUAACCUUGGAACUGCGUCGGAUACUGGAUGGCUUGAAUUCGGGAGAGGGAUGCAGAAUUCCAGGUGUAGCGGUGAAAUGCGUAGAUAUCUGGAGGAACACCGGUGGCGAAGGCGGCAUCCUGGACCGGCAUUGACGCUGAGGCGCGAAAGCUAGGGGAGCAAACGGG
rnacentral:rRNA from 1 species